UACGAAGGGGGCGAGCGUUGUUCGGAUUUACUGGGCGUAAAGGGCGCGCAGGCGGCUCAUCAAGUCAGGCGUGAAAGCCCCGGGCUUAACCUGGGAGGUGCGUCUGGGACUGGUGGGCUAGAGAUCGGGAGAGGAGAGUGGAAUUCCCAGUGUAGAGGUGAAAUUCGUAGAUAUUGGGAAGAACACCGGUGGCGAAGGCGGCUCACUGGACCACAACUGACGCUGAGGCGCGAAAGCUAGGGGAGCAAACAGG
rnacentral:rRNA from 1 species